AGUGAACGCUGGCGGUAGGCCUAACACAUGCAAGUCGAACGGCAGCACAGUAAGAGCUUGCUCUUACGGGUGGCGAGUGGCGGACGGGUGUGGAAUACAUCGGAAUCUACUUUUUCGUGGGGGAUAACGUAGGGAAACUUACGCUAAUACCGCAUACGACCUACGGGUGAAAGCAGGGGAUCUUCGGACCUUGCGCGAUUGAAUGAGCUGAUGUCGGAUUAGCUAGUUGGCGGGGUAAAGGCCCACCAAGGCGACGAUCCGUAGCUGGUCUGAGAGGAUGAUCAGCCACACUGGAACUGAGACACGGUCCAGACUCCUACGGGAGGCAGCAGUGGGGAAUAUUGGACAAUGGGCGCAAGCCUGAUCCAGCCAUACCGCGUGGGUGAAGAAGGCCUUCGGGUUGUAAAGCCCUUUUGUUGGGAAAGAAAAGCAGCAGGUUAAUACCCCGCUGUUCUGACGGUACCCAAAGAAUAAGCACCGGCUAACUUCGUG
rnacentral:rRNA from 1 species